rnacentral:rRNA from 1 species
AUUGAACGCUGGCGGCAGGCCUAACACAUGCACGUCGAACGAGUCGAGUACGGGUGAGUAAUGUCUGGGAAACUGCCUGAUGGAGGGGGAUCACUACUGGAAACGGUAGCUACUACAGCAUACCAUCUGAUAUGCCCAGAUGGGAUGUGCUAGUAGGGGGGGUAAAGGCUCACCAAUGCGACGAUCCCUAGCUGGUCUGAGAGGAUGACCAGCCACACUGGAACUUAGACACGGUCCAGACUCCUACGGGAGGCAGCAGUGGGGAAUAUUGCACAAUGGGCGCAAGCCUUAUGCAGCCAUGCCGCGGGAAUGAAGAAGUCCUUCGGGUUGUAAAGUACUUUCAGCGGGUAGGCGUUACCCGCAGAAGAAGCACCGGCUAACUCCGUGCCAGCAGCCGCGGUAAUAC